rnacentral:rRNA from 1 species
UACGAAGUGACCUUUGGAAGUUUGAGUGCUUGCACAAAGAUGAAAGAAGAUUUUUCACUUAGUGGCGGACGGGUGAGUAACACGUGGGUAACCUACCUUUGAGUCUGGGAUAACAGUUGGAAACGACUGCUAAUACCGGAUUAAAUGACAAUAGUAAAUGUUGUUAUUAAAAGGAGCCUUUAAAGCUCUGCUCUAAGAUGGGCCUGCGGUCGAUUAGCUAGUUGGUGGGGUAAUGGCCUACCAAGGCGACGAUCGAUAGCCGAACUGAGAGGUUGAUCGGCCACACUGGGACUGAGACACGGCCCAGACUCCUACGGGAGACAGCAGUUAGGAAUAUUCGUCAAUGGGGGAAACCCUGAACGAGCAAUGCCGCGUGAAUGAUGAAGGCCCUUUGGGUUGUAAAAUUCUGUGGAUAGGGAAGAACACCUGAAAUAGUAAAUGAUUUCAGCCUGACGGUACCUAUCUAGAAAGCUCCGGCUAACUACGUGCCAGCAGCCGCGGUAAUACGUAGGGAGCAAGCGUUAUCCGGAUUUAUUGGGCGUAAAGGGUGCGUAGGCGGUCUAUUAAGUCUGAAAUUAAAGCCCGAGGCUUAACCUCGGUUCGUUUUAGAAACUGGUAGACUUGAGUGUAGUAGAGGCAAAUGGAAUUUCUAGUGUAGCGGUGGAAUGCGUAGAUAUUAGAAGGAACACCAGUGGCGAAGGCGAUUUGCUGGGCUACAACUGACGCUGAGGCACGAAAGCGUGGGGAGCAAAUAGGAUUAGAUACCCUAGUAGUCCACGCCGUAAACGAUGAGUACUAAGUGUUGGGGUUACCCGGUGCUGAAGUUAACGCAUUAAGUACUCCGCCUGAGUAGUACGGUCGCAAGACUGAAACUCAAAGGAAUUGACGGGCACCCGCACAAGCGGUGGAGCAUGCUGUUUAAUUCGAAGAUACGCGAAGAACCUUACCUAGACUUGACAUCUCCGGCAAUGCUAUAGAAAUAUAGCGGAGGUUACCCGGAUGACAGGUGGUGCAUGGUUGUCGUCAGCUCGUGUCGUGAGAUGUUUGGUUAAGUCCAAUAACGAGCGCAACCCUUGUCCUUAGUUGCUAACAUUAAGUUGAGAACCCUAAGGAAACUGCCGGUGAUAAACCGGAGGAAGGUGGGGAUGACGUCAAAUCAUCAUGCCCCUUAUGUCUAGGGCUACAGGCGUGCUACAAUGGCCAGUACAAAGAGUCGCAAUACCGUAAGGUGGAGCUAAUCUAUAAAGCUGGUCUCAGUUCGGAUUGAGGUCUGCAACCCGACCUCAUGAAGUUGGAAUCGCUAGUAAUCGUGGAUCAGAAUGCCACGGUGAAUACGUUCCCGGGUAUUGUACACACCGCCCGUAUCU